rnacentral:rRNA from 1 species
CUUGGUCAUUUAGAGGAAGUAAAAGUCGUAACAAGGUUUCCGUAGGUGAACCUGCGGAAGGAUCAUUAUUGAAAUAAACCUGAUGGGUUGUUGCUGGUUCUCUAGGGAGCAUGUGCACGCCUUGUCAUCUUUAUAUCUCCACCUGUGCACCUUUUGUAGACCUUCCAGGUCUAUGUUGCUCCAUUUACCCCAAUGUAUGUUAAUAGAAUGUUGUGUUUAUAAAAUCUAUACAACUUUCAGCAACGGAUCUCUUGGCUCUCGCAUCGAUGAAGAACGCAGCGAAAUGCGAUAAGUAAUGUGAAUUGCAGAAUUCAGUGAAUCAUCGAAUCUUUGAACGCACCUUGCGCUCCUUGGUAUUCCGAGGAGCAUGCCUGUUUGAGUGUCAUUAAUAUAUAUAUCAACCUUCUCUUGUUGGAGUGGUUUGGAUGUGGGGGUUUGCUGGCCUCUUAAAAGGUUCAGCUCCCUUGAAAUGCAUUAGCAGAACGGACCUGUUCAUUGGUGUGAUAACUAUCUACGCUAUUGACGGUGAAGCAUGUUUAGCUUCUAACAGUCCAUUAACUUGGACAAUCUCUUAUUAAUGUGACCUCAAAUCAGGUAGGACUACCCGCUGAACUUAAGCAUAUCAAUAAGCGGAGGAAAAGAAACUAACAAGGAUUCCCCUAGUAACUGCGAGUGAAGCGGGAAAAGCUCAAAUUUAAAAUCUGGCAGUCUUUGGCUGUCCGAGUUGUAAUCUAGAGAAGUGCUAUCCGCGCUGGACCGUGUACAAGUCUCCUGGAAUGGAGCGUCAUAGAGGGUGAGAAUCCCGUCUUUGACACGGACUUCCCAGGGCUUUGUGAUGUGCUCUCGAAGAGUCGGGUUGUUUGGGAAUGCAGCUCAAAAUGGGUGGUAAAUUCCAUCUAAAGCUAAAUAUUGGCGAGAGACCGAUAGCGAACAAGUACCGUGAGGGAAAGAUGAAAAGAACUUUGGAAAGAGAGUUAAACAGUACGUGAAAUUGCUGAAAGGGAAACGCUUGAAGUCAGUCGCGUUGUCCAGGGAUCAACCUUGCUUUUGCUUGGUGCACUUUCUGGUUGACGGGUCAGCAUCAAUUUUGACUAUUGGAAAAAGGUUAGGGGAAUGUGACAUCUUUGGAUGUGUUAUAGCCCUUGGUUGCAUACAAUGGUUGGGAUUGAGGAACUCAGCACGCCGCAAGGCCGGGUUUUCAAACCACGUACGUGCUUAGGAUGCUGGCAUAAUGGCUUUAAUCGACCCGUCUUGAAACACGGACC